CUACCCUUGACAUGGUCGGAACCCUGCUGAAAGGUGGGGGUGCUCGAAAGAGAACCGAUACACAGGUGCUGCAUGGCUGUCGUCAGCUCGUGUCGUGAGAUGUUGGGUUAAGUCCCGCAACGAGCGCAACCCUUGUCCUUAGUUGCUACGCAAGAGCACUCUAAGGAGACUGUCGGUGACAAACCGGAGGAAGGUGGGGAUGACGUCAAGUCCUCAUGGCCCUUAUGGGUAGGGCUUCACACGUCAUACAAUGGUCGGAACAGAGGGCUGCCAACCCGUGAGGGGGAGCUAAUCCCAGAAAACCGAUCGUAGUCCGGAUCGUAGUCUGCAACUCGACUACGUGAAGCUGGAAUCGCUAGUAAUCGCGGAUCAGCAUGCCGCGGUGAAUACGUUCCC
rnacentral:rRNA from 1 species